UAAUGACUUCAAUGUUUUGGACCAUAUUGCCUUUAGUUAAGUAGUUAAGUUCAUUUGACUCCUAAUUUUUACCGGAGUUCGAUUCUACUAAAUCGCAUUAUUCUGCGUAAUAGAUACUGACUAUAGAUCGGGCCUUAUACAUCCAAAGAUGUAGA
rnacentral:sRNA from 1 species